rnacentral:rRNA from 1 species
GACGAACGCUGGCGGCGUGCUUAACACAUGCAAGUCGAACGGAAAGGCCCUGCUUUUGUGGGGUGCUCGAGUGGCGAACGGGUGAGUAACACGUGAGUAACCUGCCCUUGACUUUGGGAUAACUUCAGGAAACUGGGGCUAAUACCGGAUAGGAGCUCCUGCUGCAUGGUGGGGGUUGGAAAGUUUCGGCGGUUGGGGAUGGUCUCGCGGCUUAUCAGCUUGUUGGUGGGGUAGUGGCUUACCAAGGCUUUGACGGGUAGCCGGCCUGAGAGGGUGACCGGCCACAUUGGGACUGAGAUGCGGCCCAGACUCCUACGGGAGGCAGCAGUGGGGAAUAUUGCACAAUGGGCGGAAGCCUGAUGCAGCAACGCCGCGUGCGGGAUGACGGCCUUCGGGUUGUAAACCGCUUUCGCCUGUGACGAAGCGUGAGUGACGGUAAUGGGUAAAGAAGCACCGGCUAACUACGUG